GGUGUGUGCCGAGCAGCAUGUGUGCACCUGAAUGAAAAAAUGCACUCUGUAGCCACUUGCUACUCCCUCUAUCUCCUUUAUACUCUUUCCUCCUCUCCCUCUGAUUUCUCUACUUUCUUUUGACUACUGGCUCUUUCUCUGCAGUAAUAUGGAGGGCAUAGGUGUUCACCAUUGUUAGUUCAGGGGAACGGCUAUUCAGACACUUUUAUUCUCCAGAGUUUACCACGACUUACAUGCACUUUGACUAGGACAGCAGCCAAAGUGUGCUUUUUAAUAUUUACAUCUUAACUAGAUUGCCAAUAACAAUUCCUAAAAUUCCAUACUGGUUUUUCCCUCAUAGCUUCAAGCUGCUGCAGGUGGGAUGGAAGUAGAAUAAAGCAGUACUGUAGUACUUUAGUGCUUUAUUUUUUUAUAGUAAGCAGAAUAUGGCCAUGCAAAGUACUUGUUACUGAUUGGCUGGUAACCGUUUUAAAGACAGUGCAGCUGGACAGUAACCUGCACAAGUAGCUGCUUUAGUAAUCAGGAAAUUGGUCUGUUUAAUUGUUAACCACCUUUAAACAGACUCCAAAAAGCUUGGUAAUAUAAAUGCUUAUCUGCCUUAUGCACUUUGAGAUUUAUCUUGGCAAAUAACUUACUUGGUUGUUAUAGCUUUCUCCACCCCUGCCAUGUCUUUUUAUUUGAUCCGCUGCAGUAAGAUACCUAAUACUUGUAGUAUUGUUUAAAUGUCAAAGAGAUUUGGUCUUUAAGCAGGUUGAAUGCUUCUGUCAGUCAGCACUGCAUGAAGAUAAGCUAGUCAUAGCAAAGGGCAAGUUACAGCCUGUUCACCAUAUCAUGACUGGUGGUGCAAUAAUGUGAAGUAGGCACACACGCCCCAUUGUCUGUGAUCCUGUAUCAAAUAUGCAAACUCCAACUCCACAUUGUUAUUGGACGUUGUGUUGGAGACCUUCCCAGUGCCCUUUGUAAAGCUUUGUUAGAGGCAGCUAUAUACCAUGCCUUCCCUGCUGAAUUAUUGAAAGUGCAGGCUAUAGUUUGCCUUGACAGCGAUUAUUAAAGACUGCAGCACUCCUAUAUCAUUUAUAUAUACUAAUCGGACCCCCAAAGUAAAGUCUACCUACUUUCAUACAUAAAUAGUUGUUUUAAGUUUUGCAAAGGUAGAAUAAAAAGGCUCGCUGAAAUGAUUUCUUUGUUAAGAAGUACUGGUCAGUAAGACAUACUAAUGGUGCUGUUCCCCUGCACUCUCACUGUCCUGCUUUACACGCACACCUCUCUCUUCUCAUCUUUCAUUUCUUCUAAUAACAGCUGUAGCUUUCCAAAUGCUUUGGCACUUGAGCUGUUUCCCAGCAUGCACUGCUCUAAUGCCUGUGUCUCACAGAGAAAGUAGCUGGUGGCGGCGCCCCCUCUCUGUGCAUGAUGUCAUCACAGGGUGGUUUUGGGCCCAGAAAAAAGCCAUAAAGGCUCUGUUAGCUGAUGUCAAGGCUGAAUUGGUGUGCUUGAUAGUCUGCACAAAUCCAUCCUCUGGACUGUCCGGGUGUCAGUGCUGCAUGAUCUCUGUAGAGCAUGGUUUAGAGUUACUGGAGGCAGGACUUGGUUUGUACAUUUAAAUGUAUGCAAACUGUUCCUACAUGUUCUGGCUCACUGUGUUUGUAAAGCAACGCUGUCUUCCGGAUGACCUCCACCGACGGAGAGUCGAAACCUGUCACUCAGAGGGAGUGCUGCUCCAAUGGAAAACACGCCACUUGUCACACCAACUGUUGUCAUGUUUACCCUUUCUGAUCUCACAGGAUGCUCCCAGGGCCUGCUGCUUGGACUGAUACAGACCACUUUUUAUAUAUAUAUACAUAAAAUCCUAAUGGUGCUGUUAUUUAUAUAUAUGUGUGUGUGUGUGUGUGUGUGUGUAUAUGUAUAUAUUCUUCCGCUGUGUGUAAUUUUCUACAUGCUUUCUUUGUUCUCUGUUUUGUUGACACUGAAAGAUCAUACACAAAAAUACACUGAAUACUCCUGAUCCUUCUCUAUUUCUCUCUCUUCCACUCAGUUAGAGGUUGGUUUGUCUCAAAAGCUGGUCCUUUAAUUCAGUUCAACCUGUCGUUUAUAAGACAGCUGCCAGUCCUCAACGAACAAAAUUUGUUUAUUGAGCGUUCCACAUCAGGAAGCAUUAUACUGAAUGUGCUCACUGCAUAAGUUAUUAAUGGCAAACCUGCUUUGUGGUUACCCCUGAGACUAGAGGUGGCUAAUGCAUUAAUUUUCUCUCCUCCCACACACCUGCCGACCCACCUACAGAAUGCAGUGUUUUGGUCCAAAGAUGCGAUCAUAUACAGGGAGAAAUUAUCGUCUGCAGCUCAGUAAAAGAUGAAAAAUCACAUCGUCUUUGUGUUUGUUGGGGUGCGUAGUUUGUGAAUGGGGCGCCAUGCUGUGUUGAAGAUGCAGUGCAAGUGGGCUUGUAGGCUGUCAGACCAUUCAGAAAUAUCAAGCUGAGACCUGGAUUGACUUUUACCCUCAAGCAGGUCAUCCUGAAUUCAGUUUUCCCUGAUACUCAAAUCAUUUAUUGUACCCACAAAAGCGACAGUAACCUCAGAGCUACCACAUCACAUACUGCGGUGCAAAGGACACAACGGUCCUGAUUCAUUUUUAAUGCAUCUUUUGUCACACUCCUCCCCUCUUUCACUCUUUCUGCACUGUCGGUCAGGCUUUACAUGUCACUGACCUUUUUUUUUCUUUCUUUCUUUUUUUUUUCAGUCAGUUCAUCAACACGCUCCAGUAAACCACGUUAUUUUGAAACUCACCUUUGCAUUCAGAUGCGAGGUCACUUGAGGACAGGCGUCACUCAAUAAACACAUAAACAGCAGAAUGAGAGCAAAUUCUCCCUGUUGCUGCCUGAGCCUUUCAUCAAACCCUAGACUCAUAAAUUUGUGUUUUUAUUAUGGCAGUCAUGGAGGAAAAAGAGUGAAAGAGCAGAAAAUACAUGGAUGACAAAUUAUGUAUUUUUGGUAUCCAAAUGUGUGUACAAGCGGAUUGCAGAAUUAUGUGAAUUGUGUCUCAUAUCAGUCAGUUGCUUCAGCAGUUGUCUGUUUGCUUUUGUUAUGACACUGGAUGUCAGGAGAUUUGAUCAGUCUCAUUAGCACAGAUGUGUUCAUUGUCACAUCCUUAAGUAUUUGGAGCAUGCCCCCUUUUUUUUGUAUUUUCUCUGUCACUGACACAAGAUAGGGUGAAGUGACUUUUAGUUUCAUAAUGAGCUUUUCUUCCCCCUUUUUUUUCACCUUUUGACAUCUUGAUUGUUGAUCUCUAAUUUUUUAUAGUCGUGUACACAUGCAAAACUGUGAAAAUGAAAUUACUGUCCAGAUAAUCAUGUUAUAUACAGUUUGUUAUUUGUAAAAGUAACAAAACACUAAAUAAUGAAGGUAAUGCAUUGAAGCAUCUGUCAUUUGAUGAUUGAUAUAGGGUGUCGAUAUAAGACUGCAUUGCUGCAAGCUGUUUUGGUUUUAUCAAAGUAAUUAGGAUCUAAAAUGUUUCUAUGGCAAGUUUUUAAGUAUAUCACUUUUAAGUGUUUAGAAAAUGUUUCCUUAGUAUUUGCGUGAAAUGAAUAAUGAAUGAAUAAUUUGGCCUUCUGCAUGCAUCCCUUCAGCUGUGCCUGGUUGUACGGGUCUCAUGCUUAGUUUUCUUAAAGCUAGUUUAAAUUUGGUCAGACUAGCCAUGGGCUAUUCCUUAGCUCUAGUGCACUAGAGAGAUUAGCCCUGACCAGACCUUUAACUCUGUUUGUCCAUUCCUCCUUGCUACCAGUGAUGCCCAGACAGCAGCUCUGUCAGUCCUGUGUUUCUGCCUCACCUAACAGGCUAGUCGGAUUGUCAUCUCUAGCUGAAACACAAGGACAAGUAUGUAGACAUGUCCAGGCUCAAGCCAGAAGUCUGAAAAGCAGCCACACUCACAUGUAUACAGACAGAUAUGAAGUUGGUACUGAUUAAGAGAUAGGUUUUAAUUUACUUGAUUGCUGCAGCAAUCAAGUUUACAGUCAUUUAAGUGCUUUGGGAAAAAUCUACCAGUGUUAAAUACUGAUUUAAAUAUAGUUGGUGUUUUAUAGGCAUAAUGUCCUCCCUGUUGAGCUAUCAAAACUAAUGAAUUACUAACUAAUUAGACACAGAGACGAAGUCUGUCUAAGGAAUCAAGUAACCUAGUAGCUGCAUUUUGUAGAUAAGACUUUCUGCCUUUUAUCUGAUGUUGUACUCUGUGUGCAUUUCUGUACUGUUCACUGGCUUUUUGCUGGAGAACCCAGUAUUGUGUGUCUCAAGUCGGAAGCCGAGGCUUGCACUAGUGACAGAAAGAUGGAGGAUAAAGUGUAAGUCCAGGCAUGAUCCUUACAACAGAGCCACAGGAUGGGGAGUAUGAAACAUGGAGCAUAGGUUGAUAUUCACAGUGCCAUACCUCCUCUUCUUCUUAACAGCGUGCACAUUGUUAUAGCAUAGAGCGAAUAGAAAAAAACAAACAAAGAGAGAAUGCUUUAAUGUCAGCUCAUUGGCACUGAAGUCUGUAGCUAUAGAGGGGAUCCUAAAAGACU